rnacentral:rRNA from 1 species
AGUGGAUGGGGAGCAACCUAGUUGUGCGUGUGUAAAGGUAGUGCCAAGAAAAGCGAUGAUCAUGUUGAAAAUCAAUUCCCGGUACCCGAAACCGACACAGGUGGGCAAGUAGAGAAUACUAAGGGGCGCGAGGUAACUCUCUCCAAGGAACUCGGCAAAAUGACCCCGUAACUUAGGGAGAAGGGGUGCCACCGAGAGGUGGUCGCAGUGAAGAGGCCCAGGCGACUGUUUAGCAAAAACAUAGGUCUCUGCAAACUCGAAAGAGGAGGUAUAGGGGCUGACGCCUGCCCAGUGCCGGAAGGUUAAAGAAGUUGGUCAGUUUUAGGAUGAAGCUAGCGACUGAAGCCCCGGUGAACGGCGGCCGUAACUAUAACGGUCCUAAGGUAGCGAAAUUCCUUGUCGGGUAAGUUCCGACCCGCACGAAAGGCGUAACGAUCUGGGCGCUGUCUCGGAGAGGGGCUCGGCGAAAUAGGAUUGUCUGUGAAGAUACGGACUACCUGCAUUUGGACAGAAAGACCCUAUGAAGCUUUACUAUAGCUUGGAAUUGUGUUCGGGCUUCCUGUGCGCAGGAUAGGUGGGAGGCGUAGAAGGUAUUCUUGUGGGGAUACUGGAGCCAACGGUGAGAUACCACUCUCAGGAGGCUAGAAUUCUAACUUAAUUAAGGACAGUUUCAGGUGGGUAGUUUGACUGGGGCGGUCGCCUCCAAAAAGGUAACGGAGGCGUACAAAGGUUCCCUCAGACUGGUUGGAAAUCAGUCGAAGAGUGCAAAGGCAGAAGGGAGCUUGACUGCGAGAAGUACAGUUCGAGCAGGGUGGAAACACGGUCUUAGUGAUCCGACGGUGCUGUGUGGAAGGGCCGUCGUUCAACGGAUAAAAGUUACUCUAGGAUAACAGGCUGAUCUCCCCCAAGAGUUCACAUCGACGGGGAGGUUUGGCACCUCGAUGUCGGCUCAUCGCAACCUGGGGCGGAAGUACGUCCCAAGGGUUGGGCUGUUCGCCCAUUAAAGCGGUACGUGAGCUGGGUUCAGAACGUCGUGAGACAGUUCGGUCCAUAUCCGAUGUAGGCGUGAGAAUAUUGAGAGGAGCCUUCCUUAGUACGAGAGGACCGGGAAGGACGCACCGCUGGUGUACCUGUUAUGAUGCCAAUUGUAAACGCAGGGUAGCCAAGUGCGGAGAGGAUAACCGCUGAAAGCAUCUAAGUGGGAAGCCCACCUCAAGAUGAGUAUUCUGGUGUAAGGUCACGGGAAGACGACCCGUAAAUAGGCACGAGGUGGAAGUGCAGAGAUGUAUGAAGCCGAAGUGUACUAAUAGACCGUCGGCUUGAC